AGUGAACGCUGGCGGUAGGCCUAACACAUGCAAGUCGAACGGCAGCACAGUAAGAGCUUGCUCUUACGGGUGGCGAGUGGCGGACGGGUGGGGAAUACAUCGGAAUCUACUUUUUCGUGGGGGUGGACGAAGGGGAACUUACGCUAAUACCGCAUACGACCUACGGGUGAAAGCAGGGGAUCUUUGGAUCUUGGGCGAUUUAACGAGCCGAUGUCGGAUUAGCUGGUUGGCGGGGUAAAGGCCCAGCAAGGCGACGAGCCGUAGCUGGUCUGAGAGGAUGAUCCGCCACACGGGAGCUGAGACACGGUCCAGACUCCUACGGGAGGCCGCAGUGGGAAAUGUUGGAGAAUGGGCGCAAGCCUCACCCAGCCAUCCCGCGUGGGUGAAGAAGGCCUUCGGGUUGUAGAGCCCUUUUGUGUGGAAAGCAACGCAGGAGGUUAAUGCCGCGCUGUUCUGCCGGUACCCAAAGAGUAGGCACCGGCUACCUUCGU
rnacentral:rRNA from 1 species